AGUAAAUAGAUACCCGGGUAGUCCACGCCGUAAACGAUGGAUGCUAGCUGUUACGAGUAUCGACCCUUGUAGUAGCGAAAGCUAAACGCGUUAAGCAUCCCGCCUGUGGAGUACGGCCGCAAGGCUAAAACAUAAAGGAAUUGACGGGGACCCGCACAAGCGGUGGAGCGUGUUCUUUAAAUUCGAAGGUAAGCGAAGAACCUUACCAGGGUUUGACAUCCUCGGAAUCUUUCCGAAAGGAAAGAGUGCUUUAUUGAGCCGAGUGACAGGUGUUGCAUGGCCGUCGUCAGCUCGUGUCGUGAGACGUUAGGUUAAGUCCUUCAACGAGCGCAACCCUUAUAUUUAGUUGGA
rnacentral:rRNA from 1 species